CCUACGGGUGGCAGCAGUGGGGAAUAUUGCACAAUGGGGGGAACCCUGAUGCAGCGACGCCGCGUGAGUGAAGAAGUAUUUCUGUAUGUAAAGCUCUAUCAGCAGGGAAGAAAAUGACGGUACCUGACUAAGAAGCCCCGGCUAACUACGUGCCAGCAGCCGCGGUAAUACGUAGGGGGCAAGCGUUAUCCGGAUUUACUGGGUGUAAAGGGAGCGUAGACGGUUGUGCAAGUCUGAAGUGAAAGCCCCGGGCUCAACCCUGGGACUGCUUUGGAAACUGUGCAGCUGGAGUGCAGGUGAGGUAAGCGGAAUUCCUAGUGUAGCGGUGAAAUGCGUAGAUAUUAGGAGGAACACCAGUGGCGAAGGCGGCUUACUGGACUGUACCUGACGUUGAGGCUC
rnacentral:rRNA from 1 species